GUGCCAGCCGCCGCGGUAAUACGGAGGGUGCAAGCGUUAAUCGGAAUUACUGGGCGUAAAGCGCGCGUAGGCGGUUUUUUAAGUCGGAUGUGAAAGCCCCGGGCUCAACCUGAGAACUGCAUCCGAUACUGGAUGACUAGAAUGCGGGAGAGGGAGGUAGAAUUCCAUGUGUAGCAGUGAAAUGCGUAGAUAUAUGGAGGAAUACCAGUGGCGAAGGCGGCCUCCUGGCUCGACAUUGACGCUGAGGUGCGAAAGCGUGGGGAGCAAACGGGAUUAGAUACCCCGGUAGUCCACGCCGUAAACGAUGUCUACUAGCUGUAGGGGUACUUGAGACAUUUGUAGCGCAGCUAACGCAAUAAGUAGACCGCCUGGGGAGUACGACCGCGAGGUUAAAACUCAAAUGAAUUGGCGG
rnacentral:rRNA from 1 species